GUCUACUGCCGUGCCACCCUGAAUAAGCUCGAUGUCUGAUCUCAGUAACUAAGCAGGGGCGAGCCUGGUUAGUACUUGGAUGGGAGACCACCUAGGAAGACCAAGUGCCAUAGGCA
rnacentral:rRNA from 1 species